AACGAACGCUGGUGGCGUGUUUAUACAUGCAAGUCGAGCGAGGACAGUAGCUUGCUACUGAGCCGAGCGGCGAACGGGUGAGUAACGCGUAAGCAAUCUGCCCCACAAUCGGGAACAACCGUGCCAACGCGCGGCUAAUGCCGGAUAUUGUGUCCUACUGCAUAGUAGGUUAACGAAAGAUUUAUCGUUGUGGGAUGAGCUUGCGUCCGAUUAGCUAGUUGGCGGGGUAAUAGCCCACCAAGGCGACGAUCGGUAGCCGGCCUGAGAGGAUGGUCGGCCACACUGGGACUGAGAUACGGCCCAGACUCCUACGGGAGGCAGCAGUCGGGAAUAUUGGGCAAUGGGCGAAAGCCUGACCCAGCGACGCCGCGUGAGGGAAGAAGGCCUUCGGGUCGUAAACCUCUGUCAUCGGGGACGAAGGAAGUGACGGUACCCGAGGAGGAAGCCCCUGCUAACUACGUG
rnacentral:rRNA from 1 species